UACGUAGGGUGCAAGCGUUGUCCGGAAUUAUUGGGCGUAAAGCGCGUGUAGGCGGCCCGGUAAGUCCGCUGUGAAAGUCCAGGGCUCAACCCUGGGAUGCCGGUGGAUACUGUCGGGCUCGAGUCCGGAAGAGGCGAGUGGAAUUCCUGGUGUAGCGGUGAAAUGCGCAGAUAUCAGGAAGAACACCCGUGGCGAAGGCGGCUCUCUGGGACGGUACUGACGCUGAGACGCGAAAGCGUGGGGAGCGAACAGG
rnacentral:rRNA from 1 species